rnacentral:rRNA from 1 species
CCUACGGGAGGCAGCAGUGAGGAAUAUUGGUCAAUGGGCUUACGCCUGAACCAGCCAAGUCGCGUGAGGGAAGACUGCCCUAUGGGUUGUAAACCUCUUUUGUCAGGGAGCAACGCCGGCUACGUGUAGCCGGACUGAGAGUACCUGAAGAAAAAGCAUCGGCUAACUCCGUGCCAGCAGCCGCGGUAAUACGGAGGAUGCGAGCGUUAUCCGGAUUGAUUGGGUUUAAAGGGUGCGUAGGCGGAAUGCCAAGUCAGCGGUAAAAUCGCGGGGCUCAACCUGGGUCCGCCGUUGAAACUGGCGUUCUUGAGUGGGCGAGAAGUAUGCGGAAUGCGUGGUGUAGCGGUGAAAUGCAUAGAUAUCACGCAGAACUCCGAUUGCGAAGGCAGCAUACCGGCGCCCAACAGACGCUGAAGCACGAAAGCGUGGGUAUCGAACAGGAUUAGAUACCCGGGUAGUC